rnacentral:rRNA from 1 species
UACGUAGGGGGCCAGCGUUGUUCGGAAUUACUGGGUGUAAAGGGUUCGUAGGCGGUGCGGCAAGUUGGGAGUGAAAUCUCUGGGCUUAACCCAGAGGCUGCUUCAAAACUGCUGUGCUUGAGUGUGAGAGAGGCUCGUGGAAUUGCAGGUGUAGCGGUGAAAUGCGUAGAUAUCUGCAGGAACACCCGUGGCGAAAGCGGCGAGCUG